rnacentral:rRNA from 1 species
UACGAAGGGGGCUAGCGUUGUUCGGAAUGACUGGGCGUAAAGGGUGCGUAGGCGGUAGAAUACGUCUGGUGUGAAAGUCUUAGGCUUAACCUGAGGAUUGCACUGGAUACGGUUUUGCUAGAGUGUAAGAGGGGAAGAUGGAAUUGCGGGUGUAGAGGUGAAAUUCGUAGAUAUCCGCAAGAACACCGGAGGCGAAGGCGAUCUUCUGGCUUACAACUGACGCUGAGGCACGAAAGCGUGGGGAGCAAACAGG